UACGUAGGGGGCAAGCGUUGUCCGGAUUUACUGGGCGUAAAGAGCGUGUAGGCGGCCAAGCAGGUCCGUUGUGAAAACUGGAGGCUUAACCUCCAGACGUCGACGGAAACCACGUGGCUAGAGUCCGGAAGAGGAGAGUGGAAUUCCUGGUGUAGCGGUGAAAUGCGCAGAUAUCAGGAAGAACACCAAUGGCGAAGGCAGCUCUCUGGGACGGUACUGACGCUGAGACGCGAAAGCGUGGGGAGCGAACAGG
rnacentral:rRNA from 1 species